rnacentral:rRNA from 1 species
AACGAACGCUGGCGGCAGGCCUAACACAUGCAAGUCGAGCGCGCCUUUCGGGGUGAGCGGCGGACGGGUUAGUAACGCGUGGGAAUAUGCCCUUUGGUACGGAAUAGCCUCUGGAAACGGAGAGUAAUACCGUAUGAGCCCUUCGGGGAAAGAUUUAUCGCCAAAAGGAUUAGCCCGCGUUAGAUUAGGUAGUUGGUGGGGUAAUGGCCUACCAAGCCUACGAUCCAUAGCUGGUUUGAGAGGAUGAUCAGCCACACUGGGACUGAGACACGGCCCAGACUCCUACGGGAGGCAGCAGUGGGGAAUCUUAGACAAUGGGGGCAACCCUGAUCUAGCCAUGCCGCGUGAGUGACGAAGGCCCUAGGGUCGUAAAGCUCUUUCGCCAGGGAUGAUAAUGACAGUACCUGGUAAAG